CGCUUACCACGGUAGGAUUCGUGACUGGGGUGAAGUCGUAACAAGGUAGCCGUAUCGGAAGGUGCGGCUGGAUCACCUCCUUUCUAGA
rnacentral:rRNA from 1 species